CAAAGGAACUCUGGGAAGCAAAAUGGUGGUUAAGAAGCCCUAUCCUAGUAAGAUAGAAGGGUUUCCAAAGACAAUGAGAUCUGGAACAUUCUGGAAUUUCGGAGCCAUGCAGUGCAAUCAACCUCGAGGCUCUUCUAAGAAGUUUAAAGAAAGGAGCCACCAAUAGCAGUGAUCCUCUGAGACGAAGCCGCCCAACCCUGGGGGAUCACAAGUGCAUUCACG